rnacentral:rRNA from 1 species
UAAUACGUAGGGGGCAAGCGUUGUCCGGAAUCAUUGGGCGUAAAGCGCGCGUAGGCGGCCUCAUAAGUCCGCUGUAAAAGUCAAAGGCUCAACCUUUGAAUGCCGGUGGAUACUGUGAGGCUAGAGUCCGGAAGAGGCGAGUGGAACUCCUGGUGUAGCGGUGGAAUGCGCAGAUAUCAGGAAGAACACCAACGGCGAAGGCAGCUCGCUGGGACGGUACUGACGCUGAGGCGCGAAAGCGUGGGGAGCAAACAGGAUUAGAUACCCUGGUAGUCCACGCCGUAAACGAUGGGCAUUAGGUGUGGGAGGUGUCGACUCCUCCCGUGCCGGCGCUAACGCAUUAAAUGCCCCGCCUGGGGAGUACGGCCGCAAGGCUA